rfam:Myotis lucifugus cont2.38941, whole genome shotgun sequence.
GGCAAUUCUCAGGUGACACACCCUGGAACCGGACUCCCUCCUCUCUGGUGCCAGCUGCGUCACCCAAGAACCGCA